AGCCACCUUUUGAAACGCGUCAAAGCGUAACUUUAACACCCAAAAUACCAUUAAUUUUUAUGAACCCCUAAUUUAUAAUGAAUGACUCCAUAUUUAUAUGGAAGACACCAUGCUAGGAUUAGUAACAAGAAUUUAUAAUUCUCCAAAAUGCAAAUAUAAACCAACAUGGAUAGACCAUUGGUAGUUACCGAACCUAAAUUUAAUGCAAUAACAUCCACAAGAAAACUCUGCAGCACUCACUCGUUAACCUAACACCAGCGCAUUACAGGAAAGAUUCAAAAAAAGAGAAGGAAUUCGGCAAAUGACGGCCCCGCCUGUUUACCAAAAACAUCGCCUCUUGACUUAUAAUAAGAGGUCUAGCCUGCCCAGUGAAUUUUAAACGGCCGCGGUAUCCUAACCGCGCGAAGGUAGCAUAAUCACUUGUUCUUUAAAUGGGGACUCGUAUCAACGGCAUCACGAGGGUUUUACUGUCUCCUCUUUUUGAUCAGUGAAAUUGAUCUUCCCGUGAAGAAGCGGGAAUAUUUUUAUAAGACGAGAAGACCCCAUGGAGCUUUAAACCAAAUAACAACUUAACCACUUAUCCCAUAAUAAAUUUAACCCCUGUUAUAAGGUUUUUGGUUGGGGUGACCGCGGAGUAAAGCACAUCCUCCACGACGGAAAGAAUAAAAUCUUUAUUUAAGAACCACACUUCUAGAAAUUAGUAUACUAACGUUUACUGACCCGACAAUCGAUCAACGGACCAAGUUACCCUGGGGAUAACAGCGCAAUCUACUUCGAGAGCUCAUAUCGACAAGUAGGCUUACGACCUCGAUGUUGGAUCAGGGUAUCCCGGUGGUGCAGCCGCUACCGAAGGUUCGUUUGUC
rnacentral:rRNA from 1 species